CUGAGUUUGCGGCAACUAUCGGCUGAGUCCCGUUUAUCCAUCUGAACAACAAGGGUUCCAUAUGGGAGCUGGCCUUGGAGCCAACGACAUGUCUCGGUGAGGAUUUGUCGGCGUUCUUCCGUGUUGAAGAGCAUCAGGAGAAUCCGGCGGCAAUCAUCCCACGAGGCUUACCGAGUCCGGACGAGCUGCCAGGCAAGGUGGUCCACUUCUCCUUGGAGUGCGGCUGGGGCAAGACUGCCUGGGGUGAAGG